GUUUGUUUCAGAUCUUGCAGAAGCACUAUUUGAAUGCAAAGAAAUUGUUCAAGAUAUCUUAGGGUUUGUGCAAUAGAAGGUGCAGAUGAACAAAGGCCCUUCCACUUUGUGUAUUCACAAAUCUUUUUCUGAACGAGUAUUUUGAAACCACCAGAUCUGAAAUUGAAACCAUUAGAUCUGAAAUUGAAGCCUCCAGAUCUGAAAUCAAAACCUCCAGGUGAUAAAGUCAUUGUAGCUGAUAGAAUUUCUGGGAAGCUGUUGAAAUUUCUGGAGUCCCCACAUGCUACUACUUAUGUUGUGCCUUCUGAAAAUGAA